AUACGGGGGGUGCAAGCGUUACUCGGAAUCACUGGGCGUAAAGCGCGCGCAGGCGGCUAUUUAAGUUGGAUGUGAAAGCCUACGGCUCAACCGUAGAACUGCAUCCAAAACUAUUUGGCUAGAGUGUGGGAGAGGAAGAUGGAAUUAGUUGUGUAGGGGUAAAAUCCGUAGAGAUAACUAGGAAUACCAAAAGCGAAGGCAAUCUGCUGGAACACUACUGACGCUGAGGCGCGAAAGCGUGGGGAGCAAACAGGAUUAGAAACCCUAGUAGUCC
rnacentral:rRNA from 1 species